GGCAGUGACGCCCCUUUCCCUCGGGACGUCUUCCGAGGUGCUGCAUGGUUGUCGUCAGCUCGUGCCGUGAGGUGUCGGCUUAAGUGCCAUAACGAGCGCAACCCCCGCGUGCAGUUGCCAGCAGGAAAGGCUGGGGACUCUGCACGGACUGCCGGCGCAAGCCGCGAGGAAGGCGGGGAUGACGUCAAAUCAGCACGGCCCUUACGUCCGGGGCGACACACGUGUUACAAUGGGGGGUACAGCGGGAAGCCAGGCGGCGACGCCGAGCGGAACCCGAAAGCCCCUCUCAGUUCGGAUCGGAGUCUGCAACCCGACUCCGUGAAGCUGGAUUCGCUAGUAAUCGCGCAUCAGCCAUGGCGCGGUGAAUACGUUCCCGGGCCUUGUACACACCGCCCGUCAAGCCAUGGGAGCCGAGGGCGCUUGAAGUGCGUCGCCGGGAGGCGCGCCCUAGAGCGAAAUCGGUGACUGGGGCUAAGUCGUAACAAGGUAACCGU
rnacentral:rRNA from 1 species